UACGUAGGGCGCAAGCGUUAUCCGGAAUUAUUGGGCGUAAAGAGCUCGUAGGCGGUUUGUCGCGUCUGCUGUGAAAACCUAAGGCUCAACCUUGGGCUUGCAGUGGGUACGGGCAGACUAGAGUGCGGUAGGGGUGACUGGAAUUCCUGGUGUAGCGGUGGAAUGCGCAGAUAUCAGGAGGAACACCGGUGGCGAAGGCGGGGUCUCUGGGCCGAUACUGACGCUGGAGGAGCGAAAGCGUGGGGAGCGAACAGG
rnacentral:rRNA from 1 species